rnacentral:rRNA from 1 species
CCUACGGGUGGCAGCAGUGAGGAAUAUUGGUCAAUGGCCGAGAGCCUGAACCAGCCAAGUCGCGUGAGGGAAGACGGUACUGCGGGUCGUAAACUUCUUUUGUCGGGGAGCAAAGCGAGUCUCGUGAGCCUCACCGAGAGUACUCGAAGAAAAAGCAUCGGCUAACUCCGUGCCAGCAGCCGCGGUAAUACGGAGGAUGCGAGCGUUAUCCGGAUUUAUUGGGUUUAAAGGGUGCGCAGGCGGAGGUGCAAGUCAGCGGUAAAAUCCCGGGGCUCAACCCCGGACUGACGUUGACACUGGAUCCCUUGAGUGGGCGAGAGGUAUGCGGAAUGCGUGGUGUAGCGGUGAAAUGCAUAGAUAUCGCGCAGAACUCCGAUUGCGAAGGCAGCAUACCGGCGCGCAACUGACGCUGAGGCACGAAAGCGUGGGUAUCGAACAGGAUUAGAUACCCGAGUAGUC